ensembl:lncRNA
GAGGUUCCUUUUAUUUCUGCUAAGUAAUGAAUAUGUUAGUUUUGCUUCUGUUUUUAAUGUGAUGAGCUUUUUAAAAGAGGCUGAUCAGGAGCCAUUUCUGACUAUUAACUGCUGUCUGCAUGUCAUCAAACAAUGAAAGCAGUGGUUGGAUUUAUGGUGAUUCUACUGGGGGUGUCUCAUGGUGUGGGAACUUACUGUGAUGGCAGACAGGAUGGAGCUCAGUGUUAUGGAGCUUUGGGAGGAACUGUGGACAUCCAGCUGAUGGACAGCACCUCAGAAAUACCUAGAUACCAACUGUUAAAGAAUUCAUUAAAAAUACUAUAUGUGAGAGAGAAAAUGAUUCUCUCUAAUACCAUAAAACAUAGAUCUGUCUUUUUUCCUAGUAAUGGAACAUUUAGGAUCAAUAACUUGAGCAGGACAGACAGUGGUAAUUAUACCUUUCAAACCUUUGAUUCAAAUGGAAGAUCAUCAGGCGAGCGGACUUUAGGGUUGUUUUUUCAAGCUCCCGUGUCCUCUGUCCUGCUGGUCUCUGAGUGUCUGUCCCAGGGAGAGAUGAGGGUGUCCUGCUCCUCUGAGGGAGGGGACAGUCCUCAGUACAGCUGGACUCUGGAUGGACGCACACUGACAGAUGCUGAGCUCCUUCCUGGAAAUAUUAAGACUAACAUCAUCACUCUGAAACAGCACGUCUCAGGACAUCUGGUCUGCUCAGUCGAAAACCUCGUUAGUAAAGUCUCCAAAGAACAGAGGAUAUCUACCUGUGGCUUCAUUUUCAUCAACUGCACUUCAGUCAAUGGGACACAAGUAUCAGGGUGGGUGUAUGAAGCCAAUAACACCCUGUGCAUUGAAUCAACAAGUGAACCUACCACAACCACACAAACUGCAGUGGGAAAUUUGCCACUGAUCAGUGGUGUUCUCUCAACACUUAUAAUUUUCUUAGUUGUGGUUGGAACAGCAAUCUGUGCUCAACGGAAAAAGCAAAACAGCAAAGCAAAAGAGGAAGAAAAUGACCAGGAAGAAAUCUUUGCUGAUCUCAGGGUCGUGAAACGGCAGGCGAAACAACUGGAGAAAAGAGCGGAGCUAGAGUUUGGCCAAGUCAAGUAUUCAAAGCGUCCUCGGCAGACUGAACCAACAGGAGAUGAUUGUUUGUAUGUUAACGUCCAUAAAUUCAGAGACCUGGCAGCGUUUCCUCUCGCAUAGCCGAGCCAGAUUUGGCCUGAGGGAGGAAGCAGUUGAGACCCUCAGUAUGUCUUGAAGAUGAUCAUCCGUAAGUCUGGACCUGUACUUGGACUUAUUGAAGUUCAAAGUGGAGAAGAGCUUUUCGCACAAGUAUGUGCUACCAAAAAGGCACAUGGUCCGCUUGAACAUUCGGGAAAGCCGAGGGAAACUAGGGCUCAAUUCUCUCAAAAGUUGUCCAAGCUUGUCUGCUUUUCCAUUCACCUCCCUGAACUUCGCUUUGAGUUCAGAGUUGCACUGCAGCUCAAUGAGCUCCGUUUGAAGCACAGAAGGGGCAUCUUGCACAUCAAAGGAGAAGGGGUCCACAAAAAUUUGAAAGGUGGCUCUGUGUGUCUUGAAGUCAGCAAAUCUGUGAUCAAAUUCCUCCUGUAGCCUCAAAAUGACAUCAACAUACUUGUCACCACUGAAUGGUGUGCCUGCAUCCACGAGUGCCUUGCAUGCUGGGAAAUGGCAAAGGUUUGUCAGAGGGAGCUGGGCUUUCCAUAGCGCAAGUUUUGUGGAGAAUGCUCUCACGUUGUCAUAGGCAGCACUGACAAGUUGCCCCUGGCCUUGUUUAGUACAUUAAGCUCAUGUGUUAUAUCAACAAGAAAAGCUAGGUCCAUGAGCCAUUUGGGAUCACUUAGCACAGGAAGACUAACUCCAUCCUUCUCCAUGAAGGCUUUCACUUCUGCUCUCAACUCAAAAAAUCUCUUUAAUACAUUUCCCCUGCUGAGCCAAUGUACCUCAGUGAAGUAGAGCACAUCCCCAUAUUCUGACUCCAUUUCCUCUAAAAAAGCACGGAACCUUCGGUGCUUUAAGCCCCUGGAUCUGAUUUGGUUGAUGCAUUUCACAACAAUAGACAUCACAUUGUCAAACUUCAGGCAUUUGCUGCAAAGGACCUGCUGAUGGAUAAUGCAGUGCAGAGCAAUGGCCUCCUCCACGCCUUCCUCUUCCAGUUUUUUUUGAACAAGUGCCACCAGUCCAUUUUUCCUCCCUGUCAUUGAUGGCGCUCCAUCUGUUGUUAUUCCAACAAACCUCUUCCAUGGCAAACCAACAUUCUCAAUGACAUCACACAGCUUGUGAAAUAUCUCCUGAGCGGUGGUCUGGCCAUGCAUUGAAAUUACUGUGAGCAGCUCCUCCAUCACUUCAAAACUGUCAUCAACACCACGGACACACAUUGCGAGCUGGGCAGUGUCGGUGAUGUCUGUUGUCUCAUCAAGAGCGACUGAGUAUACACUGAAACAUUUGGCUUUCUCACACAGUUGGUCAUAAAUGUCAUUUGACAGGUCAGAAAUGCGAUCUGCUACGGUGUUGGCAGAAAGGCUGAUGUUGCUAAACUGACCUUUCUUUGCCGGACAGACUAUAUUUGCAGCCUGUAAUAUGCACUUUUUGACAAAUUCACCUUCUGUGAAUGGCUUUCCUGCUUUAGCAAUCAUCUCACUAACCACGUAGCUAGCUUCGACUGCUGCAUUAUUCUCUUUGGUUGCUUUCUUGAAGAAAUCUUGCUGCCUCAGUAGAUCUGUUUUAAGACUGGCAACCCGGUUCGCUCUCUCAUCUCCCUGGGAUUUUGCAUACACCUCAGCAUGUCUAGUUGUGUAAUGACAUUUCAAAUUGUAUUCCUUGUGCACUGCAACUUUCUCUGUGCAAAUAAGACACGCCGGGGUGCCCCUGUGCUCAACAAAGAAAUAUUGCAUUUCCCACUUUUCCUGAAAUUGCCGGUGCUCAUCACCAACCUUUCUCUUCACUGCAGGCUUUGAAAAAGACAUGUUUGGGGCUAUGUAACAUUUAUAAUUCUACUUGGUGUCACUGUCGCAUUGAAGUUUCAAUCAAGCAUUUAGCCGACGGACGUCUCAACGCAUAGAGAACGUCAUUUCCCCUUCUUUUUCUUGCAAC